rnacentral:rRNA from 1 species
AUUGAACGCUGGCGGCAGGCCUAGCACAUGCAAGUCGAGCGGAUGAAGGGAGCUUGCUCCUGGAUUCAGCGGCGGACGGGUGAGUAAUGCCUAGGAAUCUGCCUGGUAGUGGGGGAUAACGUCCGGAAACGGGCGCUAAUACCGCAUACGUCCUGAGGGAGAAAGUGGGGGAUCUUCGGACCUCACGCUAUCAGAUGAGCCUAGGUCGGAUUAGCUAGUUGGUGGGGUAGAGGCCUACCAAGGCGACGAUCCGUAACUGGUCUGAGAGGAUGAUCAGUCACACUGGAACUGAGACACGGUCCAGACUCCUACGGGAGGCAGCAGUGGGGAAUAUUGGACAAUGGGCGAAAGCCUGAUCCAGCCAUGCCGCGUGUGUGAAGAAGGUCUUCGGAUUGUAAAGCACUUUAAGUUGGGAGGAAGGGCAGUAAGUUAAUACCUUGCUGUUUUGACGUUACCAACAGAAUAAGCACCGGCUAACUUCGUG